GAGUUUGAUCCUGGCUCAGGACGAACGCUGGCGGCGCGCCUAACACAUGCAAGUCGAACGGUGAACGGAGCUUCGGCUCCGGGAUCAGUGGCGAACGGGUGAGUAACACGUGGGCAAUCUGCCCUGCACUCUGGGACAAGCCCUGGAAACGGGGUCUAAUACCGGAUGGGACUGCCCCACCGCAUGGCGGGAUCGGGAAAGCUCCGGCGGUGCAGGAUGGGCCCGCGGCCUAUCAGCUUGUUGGUGGGGGAAUGGCCUACCAAGGCGACGACGGGUAGCUGGUCUGAGAGGACGACCAGCCACACUGGGACUGAGAUACGGCCCAGACUCCUACGGGAGGCAGCAGUGGGGAAUCUUGCGCAAUGGGCGAAAGCCUGACGCAGCGACGCCGCGUGAGGGAUGACGGCCUUCGGGUUGUAAACCUCUUUCAGCAGGGAAGAAGCGAUCUCGUGACGGUACCUGCAGAAGAAGCGCCGGCUAACUACGUGCCAGCAGCCGCGGUAAGACGUAGGGAGCGAGCGUUGUCCGGAUUCAUUGGGCGUAAAGAGCGCGCAGGCGGUUCGGUAAGUCGGUUGUGAAAUCCCGGGGCUCAACCCCGGGGCUGCAUGUGAAACUGCGAGACUAGAGCUCGGUAGAGGCAGAUGGAAUUCCCGGUGUAGCGGUGGAAUGCGUAGAUAUCGGGAAGAACACCGGUGGCGAAGGCGGUCUGCUGGGCCGUUGCUGACGCUGAGGCGCGACAGCGUGGGGAGCAAACAGGAUUAGAUACCCUGGUAGUCCACGCCGUAAACGAUGGGUACUAGGCGUCGGGGGGAGCGACCCUCUCGGUGCCGUCGCUAACGCAGUAAGUACCCCGCCUGGGGAGUACGGCCGCAAGGCUGAAACUCAAAGGAAUUGACGGGGGCCCGCACAAGCGGUGGAGCAUGUGGUUUAAUUCGAUGCAACGCGAAGAACCUUACCUGGGCUUGACAUGCACGGGAAAGCCGGUGGAAACAUCGGUUCCUCUUCGGAGUCCGUGCACAGGUGCUGCAUGGCUGUCGUCAGCUCGUGUCGUGAGAUGUUGGGUUAAGUCCCGCAACGAGCGCAACCCUUGUCCUUAGUUGCCAGCGGAUAAUGCCGGGGACUCUAGGGAGACUGCCGGUGUCAAACCGGAGGAAGGUGGGGAUGACGUCAAGUCAUCAUGGCCCUUACGUCCAGGGCUACACACGUGCUACAAUGGCCGGUACAGAGCGUCGCCAACUUGCGAGAGUGAGCUAAUCGCCAAAAGCCGGUCUAAGUUCGGAUUGCAGUCUGCAACUCGACUGCAUGAAGCCGGAAUCGCUAGUAAUCGUGGAUCAGCUACGCCAUGGUGAAUACGUUCCCGGGCCUUGUACACC
rnacentral:rRNA from 1 species